CCGGUUUCUUGUGUUGCGUACCCGCCCGAAGGCAUUCGUUUUCGUCCCAACGACCCUCGUUCGUUUAGAGCUCCCCGUUUUGGCGGGGCGCAAGACGAAACUUGUAGCUUGGCCCGAUGCCCACGUCGCGUCCGGGCGUCGUGGUGGACGGGGCACUGCUUAAGCUCUCGGAUGCGGAAAGCGUUGAGGGCAUCCUUGCCCGAGCAUGCAUCUUUAGAUGGAUUGGACCCUAACAACGGCGCACGACUGUCGCUGCCGCCUCGGGGCAGGACGUCGCCGAGGAAUGCUACCUGGUUGA
rnacentral:misc_RNA from 2 species